CCUACGGGCGGCUGCAGUGAGGAAUAUUGGUCAAUGGGCGCGAGCCUGAACCAGCGAAGUCGCGUGAGGGAAGACGGUCCUAUGGAUUGUAAACCUCUUUCGUCGGGGAGCAAAAGACGCCACGCGUGGCGUUCCGAGAGUACCCUAAGAAAAAGCAUCGGCUAACUCCGUGCCAGCAGCCGCGGCAAUACGUAGGGGGCAAGCGUGAUCCGGAUUUACUGGGUGUAAAGUGAGCGUAGGCGGUGCAGCAAGUCGGCUGUGAAAGGUCGGGGGCCAACCCCGGGACUGCAUGGGAAACUGGUGGACUAGAGUACAGGAGAGGUAAGCGGAAUUCCUAGUGUAGCAGUGAAAUGCGUAGAUAUUAGGAGGAACACCAGUGGCGAAGGCGGCUUACUGGACUGUAACUGACGUUGAGGCUCGAAGGCGUGGGGAGCGAACAGGAUUAGAUACCCUAGUAGUC
rnacentral:rRNA from 1 species